AUUGAACGCUGGCGGCAGGCCUAACACAUGCAAGUCGAACGGUAACAGGAAACAGCUUGCUGUUUCGCUGACGAGUGGCGGACGGGUGAGUAAUGUCUGGGAAACUGCCUGAUGGAGGGGGAUAACUACUGGAAACGGUAGCUAAUACCGCAUAACGUCGCAAGACCAAAGAGGGGGACCUUCGGGCCUCUUGCCAUCGGAUGUGCCCAGAUGGGAUUAGCUAGUAGGUGGGGUAACGGCUCACCUAGGCGACGAUCCCUAGCUGGUCUGAGAGGAUGACCAGCCACACUGGAACUGAGACACGGUCCAGACUCCUACGGGAGGCAGCAGUGGGGAAUAUUGCACAAUGGGCGCAAGCCUGAUGCAGCCAUGCCGCGUGUAUGAAGAAGGCCUUCGGGUUGUAAAGUACUUUCAGCGGGAAGGAAGGGAGUAAAGUUAAUACCUUUACUCAUUGACGUUACCCGCAGAAGAAGCACCGGCUAACUCCGUG
rnacentral:rRNA from 1 species